GUGUCAGCCGCCGCGGUAAUACGAAGGGGGCUAGCGUUGUUCGGAAUUACUGGGCGUAAAGCGCACGUAGGCGGAUUGGAAAGUUGGGGGUGAAAUCCCGGGGCUCAACCCCGGAACUGCCUUCAAAACUCCCAGUCUGGAGUUCGAGAGAGGUGAGUGGAAUUCCGAGUGUAGAGGUGAAAUUCGUAGAUAUUCGGAAGAACACCAGUGGCGAAGGCGGCUCACUGGCGCAUUUCUGACGCUGAGGCGCGAAAGCGUGGGGAGCAAACAGUAUUAGAUACCCUGGUAGUCCACGCCGUAAACGAUGAGGGCUAGUUGUCGGGCGGCUUGCCGUUCGGUGACGCAGCUAACGCAUUAAGCCCUCCGCCUGGGGAGUACGGUCGCAAGAUUAAAACUCAAAGGAAUUGGCGGGG
rnacentral:rRNA from 1 species